rnacentral:rRNA from 1 species
AGGGAAUCUUCCACAAUGGGCGAAAGCCUGAUGGAGCAACGCCGCGUGAGUGAAGAAGGAUUUCGGUUCGUAAAACUCUGUUGUAAGGGAAGAACAAGUACAGUAGUAACUGGCUGUACCUUGACGGUACCUUAUUAGAAAGCCACGGCUAACUACGUGCCAGCAGCCGCGGUAAUACGUAGGUGGCAAGCGUUGUCCGGAAUUACUGGGUGUAAAGGAUGCGUAGGCGGAUAUGUAAGUCAGAUGUGAAACCCCCGGGCUUAACCCGGGGCAUGCAUUUGAGACUGCAUAUCUAGAGUGCAGGAGAGGAAAGCGGAAUUCCUAGUGUAGCGGUGAAAUGCGUAGAUAUUAGGAAGAACACCAGUGGCGAAGGCGGCUUUCUGGACUGUAACUGACGCUGAUGCAUGAAAGCGUGGGGAGCAAACA